rnacentral:rRNA from 1 species
GAUGAACGCUGGCGGCGUGCCUAAUACAUGCAAGUCGAGCGAACAGACGAGGAGCUUGCUCCUCUGACGUUAGCGGCGGACGGGUGAGUAACACGUGGAUAACCUACCUAUAAGACUGGGAUAACUUCGGGAAACCGGAGCUAAUACCGGAUAAUAUAUUGAACCGCAUGGUUCAAUAGUGAAAGACGGUUUUGCUGUCACUUAUAGAUGGAUCCGCGCCGCAUUAGCUAGUUGGUAAGGUAACGGCUUACCAAGGCGACGAUGCGUAGCCGACCUGAGGGGGGGAUCGGCCACACUGGAACUGAGACACGGUCCAGACUCCGACGGGAGGCAGCAGGAGGGAAUCUUCCGCAAUGGGCGAAAGCCUGACGGAGCAACGCCGCGUGAGUGAUGAAGGGCUCGGAUCGUAAAACUCUGUUAUUAGGGAAGAACAAAUGUGUAAGUAACUAUGCACGUCUUGACGGUACCUAAUCAGAAAGCCACGGCUAACUACGUG